rnacentral:rRNA from 1 species
GAUGAACGCUAGCUACAGGCUUAACACAUGCAAGUCGAGGGGUAACGAGAGGAAAGCUUGCUUUCCUUGUCGACGACCGGCGCACGGGUGAGUAACGCGUAUCCAACCUGCCCCCAACUAGGGAAUAACCUUGCGAAAGUAAGACUAAUACCCUAUAAUUUCCUCAGAUGACAUCUGACGAGGAAUAAAGAUUUAUCGGUUGUGGAUGGGGAUGCGUCUGAUUAGCUUGUUGGCGGGGUAACGGCCCACCAAGGCAACGAUCAGUAGGGGUUCUGAGAGGAAGGUCCCCCACAUUGGAACAGAGACACGGUCCAAACGCCUACGGGAGGCAGCAGUGAGGAAUAUUGGUCAAUGGGCGGAAGCCUGAACCAGCCAAGUAGCGUGCAGGAUGACGGCCCUAUGGGUUGUAAACUGCUUUUAUACAGGAAUAAAGUUAGCCACGUGUGGUUAUUUGUAGGUACUGUAUGAAUAAGGACCGGCUAAUUCCGUGCCAGCAGCCGCGGUAACAC